GCCCGGCUCCCUCUCCCUGCCCCAGCCCCACCGAGCCCCUUCUCUCCUCCUGCUCCUCCAGGCCAUGGCUGGCAAGAUCACCCAAAUCCUGCUGGUGCUGGCCAUCCUCCAGCACGGGCUGAGGGCAGAUGCCCAGGCAGUGAAGGUCACGGAAGAGGUUCUGACACAACAUGAGGAACCGCGCAACCAGGAGAUUCCGUGGCUGGCCAAGGCUGAAAGCAUCACCAAAGUCCUGAUGGUGGCAGGCAUCUUCCAAUAUGCACUGAGCGCGGAUUUCUCAGCAGUGAAGGUCACGGAAGAGCUCCUGAAGCAGCAUGAGGAGCAGCGCAGCCAGGAGAUGGCCGAUCUGCAGAAGAUGGAGCAGAGGAUGCAGGAGCAGAGCAGACCCUCCCAGGAAGGUGUGCUCCGCUCAGUCUGCCAGCAGUGGUGGUUCUGGAAUUGUGUCGAAAUCAUCCUCACGCUCUUUGGGAUCUACUGGAUGCCCAGGCAGAAGAGAGCAGGUUCUGGCAGGGGCAGCCAGGAGAAAACCACCUGCAGUGCCCAAGAGCAGAUGGAGGAGGACAAGCCCUUGGAAAAGAGCUGGGCACUGGGCAAGAUCUGCUGAUACCACUGCAGCCAUGGAAAGCAACAGCCACAGACUGUGCCGUGCUUCCUCCUCUCCCACCUCAGGAGGCAGAGUCCAAGUCACUGCUUCUUCCACAGCCUCUGCAAAUGGUCCCAGUUGUGAUGCUCCCCCUGCCAGGAGAUGCAGAAGUGAUUUCCCCCUUGUCAAUCUGUUAAUAAAAUUGUUGAUUUGCUUUGAGAAAUCCUGUGU
ensembl:lncRNA